GAUCAGUGGCGAACGGGUGAGUAACACGUGGGCAACCUGCCCCCGGCUCUGGGAUAACUCCAAGAAAUUGGGGCUAAUACCGGAUGGUCACCGCGCACCGCAUGGUGGGUGGUGGAAAGGGUUUCCGGCUGGGGAUGGGCCCGCGGCCUAUCAGCUUGUUGGUGGGGUAGUGGCCUACCAAGGCGACGACGGGUAGCCGGCCUGAGAGGGUGACCGGCCACACUGGGACUGAGACACGGCCCAGACUCCUACGGGAGGCAGCAGUGGGGAAUAUUGCGCAAUGGGCGGAAGCCUGACGCAGCGACGCCGCGUGGGGGAUGACGGCCUUCGGGUUGUAAACCUCUUUCAGCAGGGACGAAGCGCAAGUGACGGUACCUGCAGAAGAAGCACCGGCCAACUACGUGCCAGCAGCCGCGGUAAUACGUAGGGUGCAAGCGUUGUCCGGAAUUAUUGGGCGUAAAGAGCUCGUAGGCGGUUCGUCGCGUCGGCUGUGAAAACCCGGAGCUCAACUCCGGGCCUGCAGUCGAUACGGGCGGACUUGAGUUCGGCAGGGGAGACUGGAAUUCCUGGUGUAGCGGUGAAAUGCGCAGAUAUCAGGAGGAACACCGGUGGCGAAGGCGGGUCUCUGGGCCGAAACUGAC
rnacentral:rRNA from 1 species